UAUGAAGAUUAUAGCUGCUGACCCGGGUGUGCACUUUUGAUCUGGUGGCUAAUUGCCCUACUUGCCUGUCGAGCUGGCCUGACACUUCACACGCAGCGACUGUACUGUACAUGUCACUAUCAUGUCAGCCCAGCAGCCCUCAGAGGACGACAACAGCGUUUAUUUCCUCCCCUUCCACACACAGAAAAUAGUGUCAGUCAUGUUCACUGAGUGGGUGACACACUGCAUGAGGCAGAAACUGGAGCUAGGAUCUAGGCUAUCCUGGCUUAGCCUUCCAGUGGGCACUGACAGAUGUGCUAUUUAAUACCAGAGCUGGCAGCACCUCCAGUUGGAGUGAAUAUAAACUGGCUCGCUGUGUUCCAGGAGGGAGCAUUCAUCGCCGCUGUAAAAGUUUCAGUUGGAGCACGC